UGUCAUAAACGUAGAAUCAUC
rnacentral:piRNA from 1 species